GGUGAGUAACACGUGGGUAACCUGCCUGUAAGACUGGGAUAACUCCGGGAAACCGGGGCUAAUACCGGAUGGUUGUUUGAACCGCAUGGUUCAAACAUAAAAGGUGGCUUCGGCUACCACUUACAGAUGGACCCGCGGCGCAUUAGCUAGUUGGUGAGGUAACGGCUCACCAAGGCAACGAUGCGUAGCCGACCUGAGAGGGUGAUCGGCCACACUGGGACUGAGACACGGCCCAGACUCCUACGGGAGGCAGCAGUAGGGAAUCUUCCGCAAUGGACGAAAGUCUGACGGAGCAACGCCGCGUGAGUGAUGAAGGUUUUCGGAUCGUAAAGCUCUGUUGUUAGGGAAGAACAAGUACCGUUCGAAUAGGGCGGUACCUUGACGGUACCUAACCAGAAAGCCACGGCUAACUACGUGCCAGCAGCCGCGGUAAUACGUAGGUGGCAAGCGUUGUCCGGAAUUAUUGGGCGUAAAGGGCUCGCAGGCGGUUUCUUAAGUCUGAUGUGAAAGCCCCCGGCUCAACCGGGGAGGGUCAUUGGAAACUGGGGAACUUGAGUGCAGAAGAGGAGAGUGGAAUUCCACGUGUAGCGGUGAAAUGCGUAGAGAUGUGGAGGAACACCAGUGGCGAAGGCGACUCUCUGGUCUGUAACUGACGCUGAGGAGCGAAAGCGUGGGGAGCGAACAGGAUUAGAUACCCUGGUAGUCCA
rnacentral:rRNA from 1 species